rnacentral:rRNA from 1 species
GUAAAGUCGUAACAAGGCAUAUCAAUAAGCGGAGGACCGGAAGUAAAAGUCGUAACAAGGCAUAUCAAUAAGCGGAGGACCGGAAGUAAAAGUCGUAACCAGGCAUAUCAAUAAGCGGAGGACGGGAAGUAAAAGUCGAAACAAGGGAUAUCAAUAAACGGAGGAUCAAAACUUUCAACAACGGAUCUCUUGGUUCUGGCAUCAAUGAAGAACGCAGCGAAAUGCGAUAAGUAAUGUGAAUUGCAGAAUUCAGUGAACCAUCGAAUCUUUGAACGCACAUUGCGCCCGCCAGUAUUCUGGCGGGCAUGCCUGUCCGAGCGUCAUUUCAACCCUCAAGCCCCUUUGGGCUUGGUGUUGGGGAUCGGCCCGCCCCGUGCGGCGCCGGCCCCGAAAUCUAGUGGCGGUUUCGCCUGCAGCCUCCUCUGCGUAAUAACAAUAUCUCGCACCGGAACGCAGCGUGACCACGCCGUAAAACCCCCAACUUCUGAAAGGUUGACCUCGGAUCAGUAUAAGACUACCCGCUGAACUUAAUCAUAUCGUUA